rnacentral:rRNA from 1 species
UGGUGGGGACCGCAAUGGCCUACCGCCUGAAGAUGAGUCCGCGGCCCAUUAGCUAGUUGGUAGGGUAAUGGCCUACCAAGGCGACGAUGGGUAGCCGGCCUGAGAGGGUGAACGGCCACACUGGGACUGAGAUACGGCCCAGACUCCUACGGGAGGCAGCAGUUAAGAAUUUUGCGCAAUGGGCGAAAGCCUGACGCAGCGACGCCGCGUGGACGAUGAAGGUCUUCGGAUUGUAAAGUCCAGUAAGCAGGGACGAAUAAGUUCCGGAUAAUACUCGGAAUGAUGACGGUACCUGCCUAAAGCCCCGGCUAACUACGUGCCAGCAGCCGCGGUAAUACGUAUGGGGCGAGCGUUGUUCGGAAUUAUUGGGCGUAAAGGGCGUGUAGGCGGGGGAUUAAGUUAGGUGUGAAAGCCACGGGCCUUAACUCGUGAAUUGCACCUAAUACUGGUUCUCUUGAGUUCGGGAGAGGAGAGCGGAAUUCCCGGUGUAGCGGUGAAAUGCGUAGAUAUCGGGAAGAACACCAGUGG